rfam:Homo sapiens chromosome 19, GRCh38 reference primary assembly.
CGACCUCAGGCUAGAGGUGGCAACCUGCUGAAUUUAAGCAUAUUAGUCAGCGGAGAAAAUGGAACUAACCAGGAUGCCCUUAGUAAAGUUAGGUGAACAGUGAUCCCAGUGCCAAAUCCCUGCCCCUUGGUAGGGUGCGGGAAAUGUGGCGUAUGGAAGACUCACUCCCCAACGCCACUUGUGGGGGCCCAAGUCCUUCUGAUUGAGGCCCAGCCAGCCUGUGGACGGUGUGAGGCCAUUAGCAGCCCCUGGCUGCCACGCCUGGGUCUUUCCAGAGUCGGGUUGCUUGGGAAUGCAACCUCAAGCUGGUGGCAAACUCUAUCUAAGGUUAAAUACUGGCUCAAGAGACAAUAGUCAACAAGUACUGUAAGGGAAAGUUGAAAAGAACUUUGAAGACGCAGUUCAAGAGGGCGUGAAACCGUUAAGACUUAAAUGUGUGGGAUCCAUGCAGUCUGAUGGAAGAUUCAAACAGGCGGCGGGUCGGGCUGUGCCAGUGGUCUGGCGGAUCUUUCCUGCCUCCCGUUCCUCCCGACCCCUCCAACCGCCCUCCCUCCUCGGCCACCCCUCCUCCUCCUUGGAGGUGGCGGGCCCCAGCAGGUGCGGAGGUGGGUGGGUUGGGCAGGCGGGGGAGUCCUUGGGGACUGUCCUCCAGACGGCGACUGGCCACCGCCAGAUGCAUUUCCACUGUGGUGCUGCGCCGUGACUGGCUCUGGGACGGCUGGAAAGGCCCGGCAGGGAAGGUGGCUCGGGGGGUCAUGUCCUCCCCAUCCCUCUGGAGGGGGGUGAGCUGGGCCACACCCCGAGUGUUACAGUCCCUCAGCAGUAGCACUCGCAGAAUCCCGGGACUGAGGUAGUGAGACCUGUUGCCCUGCUCUCCCCUUCCCUGCUCCCACCCCAGUGGGAGCCCCCCAUGAGGGGAUCCCCCGUGGGGGCAUGACAGCGUCCCUCUAGGGGGCUGGGCCACCCCUCCCACGGUGUAACUACUCUACCACCCCUUCCCUGCCCCCAGCGAGUAGGCCGCAUGUGAGGGGCAGGGGCUGACUGUGGUGUGCCCCAGGCUGGUUGUGCUGUCGGGUCUGGGGGGACUCUUCGGCCAUGCACUCAUUUCAAAAGAACAGUGGAAGAAGUGCACGAGGCCGGUGGCGCUGUUGGCUACCCACAUGACCCAUCUUGAAACAUGGUCCAAAGGGUCUAACACGUGUGCGAGUCAGGGGCUCGCACGAAAGCCACUGUGGCGCAAUGAAGGUGAAGGCUGAUGCGCUGGCUGGCUGAGGCGGGAUCCUGAGGCCUCUCCAGUUUGCCAAGGGAGCACCACCGUCCACUCUCGCCCACUGUGCUGGGCAGGUGGAGAAUGAGCGCUUGUGUUAGGCACCAAAAGAUGAUAAACUAUGCCUGGGCAGGGCGAAGCGAGAGGAAACUCUGGUGGGGGUCUGUAGUGGUCCUGACGUGCAAAUCGGUCAUCUGAUCUGGGUAUAGGGGCAAAAGACUAAUCCAACCAUCUAGUAGCUGGUUCCCUCUGAAGUUUUCCUAAGGAUAACGGGCGCUCUCGCAAAAACCCCAUGCCACGCAGUUAUUUGGUAAAGCGAAUGAUUAGGGGUCUUGGAGUCAAAAUGAUCUCAACCAAUUCUCAAACUUUAAAUGGGUUAGAAGCCCAGCUCGAUGGCAUGGGGCCAGGUAUGAAAUGCGAGUGCCUAGCGGGCAACUUUUGGUAAGCAGAACUGCUGCUGUGGGAUGAACCAAAUGCCAUGUUAGGGUGCCUGAUGCUGAUGCCCAUUAGACCCCAGAAAAUGUGUUGGUUGAUAUAGACAGCAGGACGGUGGGCAUGGAAGUCAGAAUCCACUAAGGAGUGUUUAACAACAAAGAAUCAACUCGCCCUGAAAAAUGGAUGGUACUGAAACAUUGGGCCCAUACCCGGCCAUUGCCAGCAGUUGAGAGUGGAUGGGAGUGGUGAGGGUGGUCGCUCCCGCUGGAGCCCCGAGGAUGCUAUGCUGCUAUGAGUGGGAGGACCGCUGCAAUGAGCCUUGAAGCCUUGGGCAUGAGCCUGGGUGGAGCUGUCCCAGGUGCAGAUCUUGGUGGUAGUAGCAAAUAUUCAAAUGAGAACUUUGAAGGCCGAAGUGGAGAAGGGUUCCAGUUGAAGAUGGGUCACUCGGUCCCCAGAGAUAGGAGAGUGCCAUUCCGAAGGGAUGGAUGAUGACUUCCAUUGCCCUCAGCCAAUGGAAACGGAGUCAAGUUCAGAUUUCUGAAUCCGGAGUGGCAGAGAUGGGCACCAUGAGGCAUUCAGGGAGGUAAUGGAAGUGAUCCUGGAGAAGCUGGUGGGAGCCCAGGGGAGAGUUCUUUUUGUGAAGAGCAGGGCACCCUGUAGUGGAUUCACCCUUAGAGAGAGGUCUGUGCCUUGGAAAGAAUCAUAGAUCAGGAGGCACCUGGUGAGCUCUCACAGGCCCUUGAAAAUCUGGGGGAGAGGGUGUAAAUCUCACACCAGGCUGUAACCAUAUCCACAGCAGGUCUCCAAGGUAAACAGCCUCUGGCAUGUUAGAACAAUGUAGGUAAGGGAAAUCAGCAAGCUGGAUCAGUAAGUUCAGGGUAAGAAUUUGCUCUAAGGGCUUUGCCAGUCUGGCUGGGGCUUGAAAUGGGGCUGGGUGCAGGCAGUGGCUGGAUGAGGUGCUGUACUCCACCCCUCAACGCUAGCGGCACCCCUCUGCAGACAUCCUCCACCCACCUUGCCAUACCUUCCUCUUCCCUAUCCCUGCCCACCUUGCUAUUGCCACUUCCUAGCAGCCUUCUUAGAACUGAUGCAGACCAGGGGAAUCUGACUUUUUAAAACAAAGCAUGGUGAAGGCCUAUGGUGGGUGUUGACACAACGUGAAUUCUACCCAGUGCUCUGAAUGUCAAAAUGAAGAAAUUCAAUGAAGCACGAGUAAAUGGCAGGAGUAAAUAUGUCUCUCUUAAGUGUAGCCAAAUGCCUCAUCAUCUAAUUAGUGACUCAUAUGAAUGGAUGGACAAGAUUCCCACUGUUCCUACCUGCUAUCCAGUGAAACCACAGCCAAAGGAAUGGGCUUGACAGAAUCAGCAGGGAACAAAGACUCUGUUGAGACUGACUCUAGUCUGGUAUGGUGAAGAGACAUGAGAGGUGUAGAAUAAGUGAAAGGCCCCAGCACCCCUCUGUUUCUCUGAGGAGAUGGGGUGAGGUCCACUGGCCUUGUGGGCUGCCGGUGAAAUUCCACUACCCUGAUCAUUUUUUCACUGACCUGGUGAAGUUGGGGCUGGGGAGGAAAGCCAAAAGGGGCUCACUUUUGGCGCCAAGCACCUGGCCACAUGCUGGCUGGAUGUUAACUGGUCCUGGAAUAGUGCCAAGUGCAGAGUCGGACUGGUGCGGUACACCUGUCAAACAGUAAUGCAGGUGUCUGAAGGUGAGUGCAGGGAGUACCAAAACCUCCUGUGGAGCAGAAGGGCAGAAGUUGCUUGAUCUUGAUUUUCAGUAUGAAUACAGACCGGGAAAGCAGGGCCUCAUGAUCCUUUUGACGUUUUGGUUGGGUUUUAAGCAAGACGUGUCAGAGAAGAUACCAGAUGGUUGACCAGAUGGCCCUCAGCUGCUAUGAUUGAAGUCGACCAGACGGCUCUUGCUUUGCCAUGUCUGAGGUGGACAAGGGAUAACUGCCUUGCAGUGGCCAAGAGUUCAUAGCGACAUCGCUUUUUGAUCCUUUGGUGUUGGAUCUUCCUAUUGUGAAACAGAAUUCACCAAGCGUUGGAUGGUUCACCCAAUAGCAGGGAACCUGAGCUUGGUUUAGAACGUCAUGAGACAGGUUAGUUUUAUACAACAGUCUUUUAAACAAGGGUCUUCCCAUCUCGGCCUCACAAGUACCUGGGACUACUGGGAACUUAUUCCUCUGUAUUUUUUCUAACCACAAUUUCAGUUUGUUUCCACGAUACUUAGAGUAACUUGCUGUAAUUUUUCAUUGUUCUUUUCUCUCUCUAUUCUUGUAUGCUCCUUCCUACACACUGAAGUUGACCUUUGGUUUAUUUUUUGUCACAGUUCACACUGGUUGUGACAAACAGACACACACACACACACAGUGAGAGAGAGAGAGAUAGGAGUUCUCAAUUGUGGUAUUAAAUACCUUUUAUUAUUGUUAACUUCAGCUUAAUUAUUUCAUCUUU